CGUUAAGAAGCUAAAUAGGGAAUAAGCGUUAGCCUUUUAAGCUAAAGAUUGGCGACCCCCAACCGCCUUUAACGA
rnacentral:tRNA from 1 species